AUCAAGCAAGAGAUUUUUGAACUCCGCAGAGAGGUGACUAAUUUGAAAGCUGGUAUGGAUCACUCAAUUGGUUUGGUUGAAAUUCUGGUUGCCGCCCAAGUCAAUCCUUCUAGGAGGGAGGAAGCGAUGAUAAAAGUCUUCACUGAAACUCUAAAAUCAUUCUCUCAUGAGAAGGUGUUGGUUAAUGCACCUAAUGACUUUCCUGACAAGGUGAAUAUGGGAGUGCGUCUAGAAGAAGACGUCGGAAAGGGAUGUUCAUAUGAAGAUGGUAGCUCAGCUAAUGGUGUGAAGAAGUUUGAUAAUAACUUUUCCAAGAAAAGAACCAGAGGAAAAAAUAAU